rfam:Picea glauca, whole genome shotgun sequence.
AUACCUUUCUCAUCCUUUUGGCUAAUAUCAAGUGUAGUAUUUGUUCUUAUCAAUUUAUAUUUGAUAUGUGUUUCACAUAACCACAUGGUAUUAAAUGUAUUUUUUUGGGGGGAGAGCACAUUCAUCAGUGUCUUGUUGGGGCUCUCUUGAAUCGCUUAUGCACUACACUACAACACGUGUUAGGUGCACCCAAA